AAGUCGUAACAAGGUUUCCGUAGGUGAACCUGCGGAAGGAUCAUUACCAAAUUGGAGUUUGGGGCGGGAGGCAAGCCGGAGGCGUUUCUCCAACGCCGUCCGUGCUGUCCGAAACGGCAGCAGGCCGGCCCAUGCCCCGCGAACCCAUCUUCCAGAACCCCUACCCUUGACCACUCGCCUUUUGUUGCCUCGGCGGAUCCGUCCGCCAGAGGACCAAAUCAAACCACUGCCGUAAACGUGUAGUCUGAGCUGUAAAGCAAUAGUUAAAACUUUCAACAACGGAUCUCUUGGUUCUG
rnacentral:misc_RNA from 1 species